AAUGAACGCUGGCGGCAUGCCUUACACAUGCAAGUCGAACGGCAGCAUGACCUAGCUUGCUAGGUUGAUGGCGAGUGGCGAACGGGUGAGUAAUGCAUCGGAACGUGCCUUUUAGUGGGGGAUAACGUAGCGAAAGUUACGCUAAUACCGCAUAUUCUCUGAGGAGGAAAGCAGGGGACCUUCGGGCCUUGCGCUAGAAGAGCGGCCGAUGUCGGAUUAGCUAGUUGGUGAGGUAAAGGCUCACCAAGGCAACGAUCCGUAGCGGGUCUGAGAGGAUGAUCCGCCACACUGGGACUGAGACACGGCCCAGACUCCUACGGGAGGCAGCAGUGGGGAAUUUUGGACAAUGGGCGCAAGCCUGAUCCAGCCAUGCCGCGUGAGUGAAGAAGGCCUUCGGGUUGUAAAGCUCUUUCGGCUGGGAAGAAAUCGCACCCUCUAAUACAGGGUGUGGAUGAUGGUACCAGCAUAAGAAGCACCGGCUAACUACGUG
rnacentral:rRNA from 1 species